CGUCUCUGGGAAAUUUGAGUUUUUACUCUGAAUGUUGACCGAUACCUCGAUAGAAACGAGUGCUUUGUGUUUAGGUUUGCAUCUGAGGAAGCAGUGAUCAUGCUGUGAAACACUCAGAUGCCACCAAACUGCCAGAUGGACCUUGGGUCUGGACCAUGGGCCUUUUGGAAAAGAGCACACUGGAGUGGAUCCAUCUGUCUCACAAGCAACACAAAACAGGCGCAAGGCUACUGUGUAGGAGGGGGAAGAAGCCGGAGUACCCAUAAAGAAGCCAGGCAGGCACAGAGGGACCAUACAAGAUGGAUUUUUUAAAAUAACUUAAUAACUCCACAGUAUUUUUUGUCAUUAUGUUGUGAAUAGUUUUUUUUUUUUUAAAUCUGAAUGCUCCAUCUGCCUAUCACUUUGCUGCUGGACCACCUGAAUUUCCCCAAUGAGGGACAAUAAGGGAUAUUUCUAUUCUAAUCUAAUUAAACAUCCCUUUUCCAAAGCA